UUUUAACAUUUCAGAAUACAUUUUUUUUUAAUAUAUAUUUAACGAUAUUUAAAAGCGUUUUAAAUAGUCUACUGUCAUCGACCGUCCCUAGAGUAAGUGGCAAAGGACUUGGUGGUUGGUAUCCGAGACCCAAGUUCGAAUCCUAGUUGAUUCAUAUUUCCAGCUAAGUUUAUUUCUAAAUAAUGAAAUAAACGAAGAGGAUAGCAUGCUAUAUCUACCUCUCAAAAAAAAAAAAAAUAAAUAAAGCCUACCGUCAUAUCUGAAAGUGUCGGCAAGUGAAAAGACCUCACGGUGAUGUCGUUUUGAAGAUUUUGAACCUAC
rnacentral:lncRNA from 1 species